CCUACGGGAGGCAGCAGUAGGGAAUAUUGGGCAAUGGAGGCAACUCUGACCCAGCCAUGCCGCGUGCAGGAUGAAGGCGUUAUGCGUUGUAAACUGCUUUUAUAUAGGAAGAAAGAGUUCUUGCGAGAACAGUUGACGGUACUAUAUGAAUAAGCACCGGCUAACUCCGUGCCAGCAGCCGCGGUAAUACGGAGGGUGCAAGCGUUGUCCGGAUUUAUUGGGUUUAAAGGGUGCGUAGGCGGUUUAUUAAGUCAGUGGUGAAAGACGGUCGCUCAACGAUUGCAGUGCCAUUGAUACUGGUAGACUUGAGUGAGAUUGAGGUAGCUGGAAUGGAUAGUGUAGCGGUGAAAUGCAUAGAUAUUAUCCAGAACACCAAUUGCGUAGGCAAGUUACUAAGUCUCAACUGACGCUGAGGCACGAAAGUGUGGGUAUCAAACAGGAUUAGAUACCCUGGUAGUCCACACUGUAAACGAUGAUAACUAACUGUUGGCUUUCGGGUCAGUGGUACAGAGAAAUCGUUAAGUUAUCCACCUGGGGAGUACGCCGGCAACGGUGAAAACUCAAAAGUAGUAGUAGACGGCGUAGAGACGACGACGACGGACGACGACGGAGGGGAGGUAGG
rnacentral:rRNA from 1 species